GCCUUUUUCAAUCCACCCCAUUAAAUAACAUGAUUCUUGCUGAAAACUGCCUUGGGGCCGCCUUCUAGCUCGGAAGAUGGGACAUCAGCGACUUGAAGCAAUCAGUCAAUCGAGAUUGCAGUUGAAAUGGAUGCAAGCAGGAUGGCAAAGAAACAAACCACAGAGAAGAGUGAACACCUCAUGCUUCCAACAGCAAUUCAGAAAGUCAAGCUGGUGUGAAGAUGUAAUUGUGCCUGGAGCUGAGAGAGAAGGAGAACGAACUGCGGAAAGAGAGAGACAGAGAGAGGAGAGAACAGUGCCAUAGCAACAGGUGCUUCUCACGUAAUGGAGUCCCUUCUCAUUCGGGCUUUUUGGCAAUGGCUGUCCUUGUUUACGCAAUCAUAAAUAAUCCAUUUUUUUUCAUUUACACACAUGAAUGCGACAGGCCUGGCCUCCCAGCUUCAGGCUCCAUCUGUCUGGAGCAAAGGGAGGUUGCGGAGGAAGAGGAAGGUGAAAAAGCCUGGGCGCAGAGUGAUAACGGAGUCAAAUAUUUGCUAAACCGUUCUGAAGUCCAGGAAAACUCCAUUAGCCACUGCAAAGCAAACUCCUCUCCACCUGAGCCAGAAAACACAUAGGAACAGAAGACAAAAAUACGAAGGAUCAGCUUUCCAACUUUCUCCAGCAUUCAAACCUUCCUUGGAGACAUCUGCUCAUCUGUUUGGGUGUGCUACACUGACAGAGGAAAUCAUCCCCAAGGCUUUGUUCCUUAUUCUAAAACUUGCCACCUUUCAAAAGGGUCUAGGGCCCUGUGGUUUGUGAGCACGAACAGGAGUCUGUGUUCCAUGAGCAAUAGCCGGUUUCAGUGUGAUCAGAGGGAAACGGCGCGUCUCUCUGGUUGUCAUUAGGGAAAGAAAAGAUUGCCGUGUUGGCUCUAAUUUCUAUGUAAUGCCGAAAUCAAAAGCUUGGGCUGGAAUCCUCGUCUGCAGCAAACCAUUUAACAAACAGCAAUCAGGUAAUUGGGGAUGACAGUGACAUCCAAUGAAGCUCCUUUGUUCACUCCCAGGGCGCGAUUGUUCUCCAAUUCAAUUUGCACUACAGAGAAUUCAAAAGAAACCAUUUCUCUCCCCUUAUGAAGAGAGGAGAGAAAGCCCCAAGGAAAGGGGGAAAUGGAGGGAGGGAGAGCCUCAAAUAUUAGAUUAAAGCCCAAUAACACAAUCAAGAGCUAGCCGAAUCCUAUUAUUAGCAUUCAACAGGUUCUACCAAAGGGCAACUGGUCCCUUUUUUGCAAAGAGAGAUGGAGAGGAGAUCUCCAUUAACAGCUUGAAGCCCAGGAGAGGAGAGAAGGAAAUGUAAUGCACGGAGAAAGGGAGGAAGAAAUAACAAAAAAUAAAGGGUUGAAAGGAGGAAGACAUCCAACAGCAAGCGGGAGAUAAAAGCCACUUUGGCUAGGCUACCAUUAAUACCACGGGCAGUGUAUUCUGCACACAAAGUCAAAGUAGCUGCAACAGGUGGUGGGAAAUCUGGAUGAAUCCUUGGAAGAGAAGAGCAGCAGAUACGGAGAAGAGAGGAAGGAAAUCAGGGCGGAAUAUCAAACAAGGGACCAAGCUGCCUCUGAGGACUCGGUUAUUGUUAUUUCUACCUUGAUUCACAUCUUGCUGGGAAGUGAGGGCAGCUAACAAUCCCACACUUUAGUACAAGUUUUAAAAGAGCGAUACAAAAGUUUAAAAAACAACCAAAUAGUACAGUGUGGUAAAAACAGAUUAAAAAGGUAAAUGUUUUCCCCUGACGUUUAGUCCAGUCGUGAUCCACUCCGGGGUUUGGUGCUCAUCUCCAUUUCUAAGCCGAAGAGCCGGCGUUGUCUGUAGACACCCCCAAGGUCAUGUGGCUGGCAUGACUGCAUGGAGCGCCGUUACCUUUCCGCCAGAGCAGUACCUAUUCAUCUACUCUCAUUUGCAUGUUUUUGAACUGGGGCUAACAGUGGGGGCUCUCUCCGCUCCCUCAAUUCACACCUGCGACCUUUUAGUAAUGAUAGUAAUAAUAAUGACUUUGGUAAUACACACUGCUUCACUUCCUUCUCAGUGUGGAAGAGGCCUAAGUGAGGCCUAACUCUGCCUGUCCCCUGGGCUGAGUGGGUUGCUAGGAGACCAUUCUAGCUCAUUCCGCUCCCGGGAUUUGAACCUGGGACCUUUUGGUCCGCAAGUUCAGCAGCUCAGUGCUUUAACACACUGUGCCACCAGGGGAUUAAACAGAUUAAAAUAUAAUAAAUACACUUAAGACUCACUUUCAUGGUCAGGCAGGGGAAGAAACCAAUAAUAAUAAUAAUAAUAAUAAUAAUAAUAAUAAUAAUAAUAAUAAUAAUAAUACAUCACACAGUCCUAGACACUUGGGAAGUGUUCGACUUGUGAUUUUGUGAUAUGAAAUCCAGCAUAUCUAUCUUGUUUGCUGUGUCAUAAUAAAAUAAUAAUAAUAAUAAUAACAACUUUAUUUUUAUACCCCACCCCAUCUCCCCGGAGGGACUCGGAGCAGCUUACAUGGGGCCAUGCCCGACACAACAAUACAAUAAGACAAUAAAACAAAUUUUGCAUCAAUAAAACAUCAACAUCAAUAAAACAGUCACAUGCAUUUCUCUUCAGUUAAGUUAGGCGCUUGAUUUUAGAGCUGAAGAGUGAGGAUGGCAAGGAGGCUUUUCCAUCCGAGUGGGCUUCACCAAGAGAGAUGUAAGAAAUAUGUUGUCGAAGGCUUUCAUGGCCGGAAUCACUGGGUUGCUGUGAGUUUUCCGGGCUAUCCGGCCAUGUUCCAGAAGCAUUCUCUCCUGACGUUUUGCCCAUAUCUAUGGCAGGCAUCCUCGGAGGUUGUGAGGUCUUUUGGAUACUAGAAAAGUUGGGUUGGUUUAUGUAUCUGUGGAAUGAUGUCCGGAAUGGGAGAAAGAACUCUUUUCUGUUGGAGGCAGGUGUGAAUGUUGCAAUUGACCGCCUUAAUUAGCACUGAAUAUAUAUAAAUAAACCCCACUUGACUCAUUUCCAACAGUUCACAACCUCUGAGGAUGCCAUAGGUGCAGGCGAAACGUCAGGAGAGAAUGCUUCUGGAACACAGCCGUACAGCCUGGAAAACUCACAGCACCCUGAUGUAAUAAAUUUUUACAAUGGCAAGAAGAGCCACUUCAGAUUAUUACAAUUGUUGUUGCUGUUAUUAUUAUUAUUAAUGUAUUUCUAUCUCGCCUUUCUCCCCAUCGGGAUUCACGGUGGGUCCACCUGGUCUGGCAUCCUGUUGCCAAGCGAAGAAGACAGUCGGGCAUUUCUAUGGGCCUUUCAACAAAGAGAGCACCGAGGGAGGCUCCUGGCACUGAAUCAAAUCCCACAUUAUCUGCUUUGAAGUGGAAUAUAUGGCAGUGUGGACUCAGACAACCCAGUUCAAAGCAGAUCUUGUGGGAUUUCCUGCCUUGAGAUUCUGGGUUAUAUGGCAAUGUGGAAAGGCAGGGUUGCGGAUGGAGAAUAAAUAGGAAACCAUUCAGAAAUGGGACAGAAGGGUCUCUCGCAAUAAUAUUUGCACCUCACUGGACACGACAGGUUUUGGUUUUAAGCUGCCAAGAUGCAAGGCAGCCUUGUGCCUUCCAGAGGCGCUGGGCUACAAUGAACCCCAUCGUCCCCAACUUGUUGAUAUUUUAUACUGGCUUUUUACUGGUUAUAUUUUGCAAGCUCUGUUUUAUACUCCAUGCAUCCUGCUUUUAACUGUGAAAUUUAACAGUGUUUCUAUAGAUGCUUGAAGUGCAUUAAAGCGCUGAGCUGCAGACCGAAAGGUCCCAGGUUCAAAUCCCGGGAGCGGAGUGAGCGCCCGCUGUUAGCUCCAGCUUCUGCGAACCUAGCAGUUCGAAAACAUGCCAAUGUGAGUAGAUUCCAGCGGGAAGGUAACGGCGCUCCAUGUAGUCAUGCCAGUGGCCACAUGACUUUGGAGGUGUCUACGGACAACACCGGCUCUUCGGCUUAGAAAUGGAGAUGAGCACCAACCCCCAGAGUCGGACACGACUGGACUUAAUGUCAGGGGAAACCUUUACUUUUACCUAUAGAUGCUUGGUUGAUAUGGUUACUUAUGUUUUUCAAAUGACUGAUCUUAUAUCAGUGAUGGCCAACUUAAGACACGCGUGUCAGCACUGACACGCCUAGCCAUUUUUGCUGACACGCUGCUGCCUGCAGAUUGAUUGGACGACUAUGUCUUUUGUGGCCAAAUUUGGUGUGAUUUGGUCCAGUGGUUUUGUUGUUAUUCCAUGGGAAUUAUGCACAUUAUAUAUAUAUAUAUAUAUAUAUAUAUAUAUAUAUAUAUAUAUAUAAUAUUCAUUCUAUUAUUAUUCUCUUAUUAUGGUAGUAUAUUAUCAUAUUAUUACCAUUAUAUUAUUAUUAUAUUAUUCAUUAUUCAUGACUACAUUGAAACUAGAAUAGAGAGAAAUCAGCAUGGAAACUGCAAGAGGUACAUUGAUUGUUGUACAUUGAAAUAAUGGUCGUAAAUAGUUUUUGAUUUAUUAAAUACAGUUAUAUAUUACAAUUAUACAUUUUUGUUAUUUAAACUAUACAUAUUGCGAAAUUAUGGUGUUUUUUUUUCCUCAAAGUGACACACCACCCAAGUCAUGCUAGGUUUUUUGGUGAAUUUUGACACACCAAGCGCAAAAGCUUGCCCAUCAUUGCCUUAUAUAGAGUAGAGUCUCACCUAUCCAACACUCACUUAUCCAACGUUCUGGAUUAUCCAACACAUUUUUGUAGUCAAUGUUUUCAAUACAUUGUGAUAUUUUGGUGCUAAAUUCGUAAAUACAGUAAUUACUACAUAGCAUUACUGCAUAUUGAACUACUUUUUCUGUCAAAUUGGUUGCAUAACAUAAUGUUUUGGUGCUUAAUUUGUAAAAUCAUAACCUAAUUUGAUGUUUAAUAGGCUUUUCCUUAAUCCCUCCUUAUUAUCCAAGAUAUUCGCUUAUCCAACAUUCUGCCAGCCCGUUUAUGUUGGAUAAGUGAGACUCUACUGUAUCUCUUGCAGUUUCCAUGCUGAUUUCUCUCUAUUCUAGUUUCUAAUAUAGUAAUAAUCUAAAAAUAUACUACAAUAAUAAUAGAAUAAUAAUAGAAUGAUAUAUAUGUGUGUGUGUGUGUAUGUUGGAUAAGUGAGACUCUACUGUAUUACAAUUAUACAUUUUUGUUAUUUAAACUAUACAUAUUGCGAAAUUAUGGUUUUGUUUUUUUCUCAAAGUGACACACCACCCAAGUCAUGCUAGGUUUUUUGGUGAAUUUUGACACACUGAAUGCAAAAGGUUGCCCAUCAUUGUCUUAUAUAUUGGCAUUUUACCGGUAAUUGUGCAGUUUUCGGCACAUGUUGCACUUGUGCUGCUGCAGCUCACAAUGUAUGUUUUGCAUGCUCUGUUUUAUCCCGCUUGCAUCCUACUUUUAACAAUGUUUGUUUGAUGUGGUUUCUGUACAUGCAUAUGACCAUUGGUGAGAGCAUUAAUAAAUUGAUUGAUUGAU